rnacentral:rRNA from 1 species
AGAGUUUGAUCCUGGCUCAGGAUGAACGCUAGCUACAGGCUUAACACAUGCAAGUCGAGGGGCAGCAUGGAAGAAGCUUGCUUCUUCUGAUGGCGACCGGCGCACGGGUGCGUAACGCGUAUCAAACCUGCCUCAUACUCGGGGAUAGCCUUGCGAAAGUAAGAUUAAUACCCGAUGUUGUUAUGUUACCGCAUGGUGAUAUAACCAAAGAUUUAUCGGUAUGAGAUGGUGAUGCGUCCGAUUAGGUAGUAGGCGGGGUAACGGCCCACCUAGCCAUCGAUCGGUAGGGGUUCUGAGAGGAAGGUCCCCCACACUGGAACUGAGACACGGUCCAGACUCCUACGGGAGGCAGCAGUGAGGAAUAUUGGUCAAUGGGCGUAAGCCUGAACCAGCCAAGUAGCGUGCAGGAUGACGGCCCUAUGGGUUGUAAACUGCUUUUAUGCGGGGAUAAAGGAGUCCACGUGUGGGCUUUUGCAGGUACCGCAUGAAUAAGGACCGGCUAAUUCCGUGCCAGCAGCCGCGGUAAUACGGAAGGUCCGGGCGUUAUCCGGAUUUAUUGGGUUUAAAGGGAGCGUAGGCCGCGCCUUAAGCGUGUUGUGAAAUCCGGGUGCUCAACAUCCGGCUUGCAGCGCGAACUGGGGCGCUUGAGUGCGCUGAAAGUAGGCGGAAUUCGUGGUGUAGCGGUGAAAUGCUUAGAUAUCACGAGGAACUCCGAUUGCGAAGGCAGCCUACUGUAGCGCUACUGACGCUGAUGCUCGAAAGCGUGGGUAUCGAACAGGAUUAGAUACCCUGGUAGUCCACGCGGUAAACGAUGGAUGCUCGUUGUCGGCCCUUGGGGUCGGUGACCAAGCGAAAGCGUUAAGCAUCCCACCUGGGGAGUACGCCGGCAACGGUGAAACUCAAAGGAAUUGACGGGGGCCCG